AGACGAGUGGCGAACUGGUGAGUAACACGUGGGUAACCUGCCCUUGAAGUAGGGGAUAACACUUGGAAACAGGUGCUAAUACCGUAUAACAACCAAAACCCCAUGGUUUUGGUUUAAAAGAUGGCUUCGGCUAUCACUUUAGGAUGGACCCGCGGCGUAUUAGCUUGUUGGUGAGGUAACGGCUCACCAAGGCAAUGAUACGUAGCCGACCUGAGAGGGUAAUCGGCCACAUUGGGACUGAGACACGGCCCAAACUCCUACGGGAGGCAGCAGUAGGGAAUCUUCCACAAUGGACGAAAGUCUGAUGGAGCAACGCCGCGUGAGUGAUGAAGGGUUUCGGCUCGUAAAACUCUGUUGUUGGAGAAGAACGGGUGUGAGAGUAACUGUUCACAUCGUGACGGUAUCCAACCAGAAAGCCACGGCUAACUACGUGCCAGCAGCCGCGGUAAUACGUAGGUGGCAAGCGUUGUCCGGAUUUAUUGGGCGUAAAGCGAGCGCAGGCGGUUUUUUAGGUCUGAUGUGAAAGCCUUCGGCUUAACCGGAGAAGUGCAUCGGAAACCGGGAGACUUGAGUGCAGAAGAGGACAGUGGAACUCCAUGUGUAGCGGUGAAAUGCGUAGAUAUAUGGAAGAACACCAGUGGCGAAGGCGGCUGUCUGGUCUGUAACUGACGCUGAGGCUCGAAAGCAUGGGUAGCGAACAGGAUUAGAUACCCUGGUAGUCCAUGCCGUAAACGAUGAGUGCUAAGUGUUGGAGGGUUUCCGCCCUUCAGUGCUGCAGCUAACGCAUUAAGCACUCCGCCUGGGGAGUACGACCGCAAGGUUGAAACUCAAAGGAAUUGACGGGGGCCCGCACAAGCGGUGGAGCAUGUGGUUUAAUUCGAUGCUACGCGAAGAACCUUACCAGGUCUUGACAUCUUCUGCCAACCU
rnacentral:rRNA from 1 species